rnacentral:rRNA from 1 species
GAUGAACGCUGGCGGCGUGCCUAAUACAUGCAAGUCGAGCGAACAGACGAGGAGCUUGCUCCUCUGACGUUAGCGGCGGACGGGUGAGUAACACGUGGAUAACCUACCUAUAAGACUGGGAUAACUUCGGGAAACCGGAGCUAAUACCGGAUAAUAUAUUGAACCGCAUGGUUCAAUAGUGAAAGACGGUUUUGCUGUCACUUAUAGCUGGAUCCGCGCCGCAUUAGUUAGUUGGUAAGGUAACUGCUUACCAAGGCAACGAUGCGUAACCGACCUGAGAGGGAGAUUGCACACAUUGGAACUGAGACACGGCCCAGACUCUUACGGGAGGCAGCAGUAGGGAAUCUUCCGCAAUGGGCGAAAGCCUGACGGAGCAACGCCGCGUGAGGGAUGAAGGUCUUCGGAUCGUAAAACUCUGUUAUUAGGGAAGAACAAAUGUGUAAGUAACUAUGCACGUCUUGACGGUACCUAAUCAGAAAGCCACGGCUAACUACGUG